GCCCGAUUAGCUCAGCUGGUUAGAGCGUCGUACUAAUAUCUGGUGUUCUUCCUGAUAUCAAGUCCAUGCGAAGGUCAACAGUUCAAUCCUGUUAUUGGGCA